UAAGGAGGUGGCAAGCGUUGCUCGGAAUCACUGGGCGUAAAGGGCGCGUAGGCGGGGAGGUAAGUCGGGUGUGAAAUCCCUCGGCCCAACUGAGGAACUGCGCCCGAGACUGCUUCUCUUGAGUCCCGGAGAGGAAGGUGGAAUUCCCGGUGUAGCGGUGAAAUGUGUAGAGAUCGGGAGGAACACCGGUGGCGAAGGCGGCCUUCUGGACGGUGACUGACGCUGAGGCGCGAAAGCGUGGGGAGCAAACGGG
rnacentral:rRNA from 1 species